rnacentral:tRNA from 1 species
GAUAGUGUGGCCGAUUAGUCUAUGGCGCUGGUUUUAGGCACCAGUCUCUUCGGAGGCAAGGGCUCGAAUCCCUUCACUGUCA